UGAACGUCAGCUCGUGUGUGUGGAGGGCGACCAGAGCGCUUCUGUUGCUGUCCCUUUAGGCAAUCCAGAGCUUCAACGUCCACUGUUCGUAGGUUUUUACAAUAAACUUUUCCGUUUUCUUUAGGUCCAUUAAAAGUAUUAAAAGUACUGACCAUAAACCUGGUAAUUCCGUUGUGAUCAAUCUGCUCCAUUUCUAGUGAAUUCUGUGCAACAAUUGGAAUUAUUCAGUACAAGAAUUGAUAGAAGUUCCGCUCUAAAGCUUUCGAUAUCCAUUACACCUGUAGUUCACUCACGUUUUCUAAUUCAAUGUCGUCGAUCAAUUCAUGUUCUAAUUUGAAGCUCUGGCGAUCUACGAGCAUAAAAUCGGUUAUCUUACAUAAGGGUGCCUCUUCAGUGUUCCCACAUGCGCUUUUCAGAGAUCCCUUGGGGUAUUUGGUUCAAAAGUAUAUAUACAUACCCCAGUUUAUUAAUACGCAGACGAAAUUCACGUGUUAGCGGAUGAUACCUUAAUAGUUUGUUUUGAUCGUCUGUUGAGGUCAAUGAGUCGCAACUUCUACCUACACUUUAGACACCUCAUCAUGACUGCAUGUAAGUUGUAACACAUGUCACGUACGUUGUCUGUGAAUUCUAAGACUCCCUUUCCCUUUGUUCCAUUAACAUUGUGUUGGAAGCUCUAUUGGAUUGUGUAUGGAAGCUGCCAUCGUCCAAGCUCUAUUUGAAAUUAUCUACUCUUUUUUGUAAUUCAUAGAUUGGUUUAAAUUGUCAAUCCUGCAGACAGACCUUGCUUUUCAUUUGUCAAACCUUCAUCAAAUUGUAAGUGGGAUAUCCACUAGUCUAAUAAUAAUAAUAAUAAUAAUAAUCCUUCAGAACAUCCUCUUGAAUCCUACGGAGUAGGAGUAGGAGUCUCCACCGUCAUUACAUAGUUAAUUAUGUGAAUACUAGUGCGUGUGCUGCACACUGCCGGAUGGAGUCAUUUAUGUAAAUUCUGUGAGCCGUUAUCGUUGAAGUAUUACCUUACCUAAUUGCAGUCAUUUCUUGUUGUCAGUCCGUAUAAUUUAUAUCAGAACUAAUGAAUAGUUUGGUUGUUACGUAGCUCUGUUACGUUACCAUACGGCUUAUGCCUGCAGUCUAGUAAUUUUAACUGUCUCGUGACUUGCCUACAGUCUGUUAUAAGUGCUUGUAUACGAGGUCACUAGUGACGGCUAGUGCAAUUUUCAACUACUACCGCUGCAAAUCAUCUUGUUACUGGCCUCGUGUUCAGGGUUACUAGCGCCUUCUGGAGCGCGGUGUCGCCUAUACACGGGGCCAAUAGCGCGAUCAAUAAUGACGGGUAGUAACGAAAGUUUUACUGGCUGCCACUACUGUCUCAGUAAUGCAAACCGCUACAACCAAAUGUGUAUUUCCUUUAGUCUGGUGCUGGUUUACCCUAGUUUACUGAGAGCAGUCCUGGUCAAGCCUAGUCUAAACGUCCUUAACUUCAUGUCCGCAAAUACCUCAUUUAAGUCCCUCUAAUUUGUCCAGUUUUUCUCCUCCAUCGUUAAGUUUGUGAUCGAGGAGUUCCUGUCGUGUAAUUCGAUAAAUUCAUUAUGUUGGAUUGUCCCUGAUUUGAAUGUAAUUUAACCCCCGGAGUUAGACCUUGAUCGGUCCGUGCUUGUUUGCAUGUCCUACAUAUUUUUUGAGUGCAUUCAUCGCCUAAUCCAUGGCUGACCGUCCGUCUUAAGCUUCUUUACCGUAGAUUUCACUAAUGACUGUUCGGUCUCUAAGCUGUUGACGAAACGUACGCUGAUGCAUGUAUUGUUCUGCGUUUCGUACUUCGCGAAAGUUAGCAUAAAACUGACUCUUUGUGGCAGUGUAUUACUAUUAACUUUGUGUAGUUCAUCACGCUCGAUAUUUUGUCAUUAUUAUUUGCGACUGUUAUAUCUCCUCGAUGGUUCUGUCAGGACGUCCCGCGAGCCCAAAGCUUUAGUUAGGAGCCUGGUUACUACAUUCUAAUGCGGUCAUUAUCUCAAUUAUUUUCUUAUUGUCUUAUUCUCAUUUCCUGAAGCUGGAGCUCGUUCUCGUUCUCACAAGUGUUUGCCCAUUCAAGCGAAUAAUAAUAAUUCUGGAAAUAAUUCCCAAGUUGCUUUGCGCCAUACUACUAGUCGGCGUUGCGUGCGUUACUGUUUAAGUUUUCUUGCCUUCUUCCAAAACAAGAUGUUAAAUCCGGGAAUUUGUUUGCCUUGCUGUUAUUCUCUGUUAGUUCGUACUGUUGUACUUAAUUAAUUAAUCUCGCAUUGUUCUAAUUGCGGCGGUUUGCUCGGUGUUGUGACGUCGGUACAAUUUGACUCCUUCAGUUAUCCUCUUCAACUUGUGUCGAUCAGUUUGUUAAUUCCUUGAUGAAUUACAGUACAUACCUAAGCCCGUGUUACGCUUUUUUUCUCAAAAAUUGUUCUCAAAAUAAAUGCAUAUCCAAUUAUGUUUGGGUAAAAUACCACAUAGAUUUUCGUCUUGCGGUGUGACGGAUGCGGUCGACUCGAUUACAAGGAGUAUUUUCGAUUUUUUAUUGCAACUUGAUUGCUUGGUCGCCGUCAUAGCUUUUUUCGAGAAUUAUUGCCAGCUGUGCAAACUGGAAUUUUUUUUUUUUUGUGGGGGAGAGGAUCGGUGCUAUUCAAGGAAGAAUCUGUGCCCCUAGAAUUCAUCGGUGGGUCGCUGGUGCUGUGGCCUACGAUCGUAUUUGUGCGGAAAAAGGUUCGUUGUUUAGGUUUGCUGAAACUUAGGUUACGUUAUGUGGUUCUAUAUUUAGAACGGAUUAUACCUGUUUUUGAUGAGUUUAGUGUUAAGUGUUUCUCUAACAACUAUUAAUGGAGAUAUAUUAUGUUGAGUGUACCAUGUAUUACAAGUAUUUCUAAUCGUGCUCUUGUUUGGCUGUCGUGCGAACUUUCUAAAACCUAAAAUUCUACCAUUUUCUUUUCUCUCGUUAUUUUAAUGCCAUAUUUGAUUGCGUACCCAUCUCCAAGUCGAGUUUUGAAUUUAAUGUCGUCUAAACCAAGUUUGAAGUGAUAUUUUUUUCUGGUCCGGUAUGCUGUUGAUCUUUGGCUCAAAUUUAGUUUAUUUUGUUCACUUAGUUCAUCUCUGAAAUUUUCUUACUGUUCAAUAAAUUUUACGGCAUUGAUAGAGUGUUACGUAAUUUUGUUAUCAUAUCUUCAGUCUUCCCGAGUCCCAAAACUUGUCGUUACACACAAGCAAUUUUUUUUAUUGCAAUUCUGACUUGUAUUGAAGUUCUCGUCUCUAUCUCCCGCCAUCACUCGAUGAUUACUUUCGUAAUGCAUGAACUGAGGCGCUGCUGCGCCCAUGACAAAACAUUGCACGUUACUUUCAAGUAUUUCUUCUUCUUUAGUCUUUUUUUCAUUUUGUGGGAUGUAUGGAUAUUAGACAACCUAUCGUGUGCGUUCUCGUUGCCAUUUGCGUGCCAUCCUAUGUUUUUUUGGUGCUUGUAUUAGUGAAGGAUUUUAGGUUUACGUUAGUUGUUGUAGAAUAUUCAGCGUUCCCGAAAUGGGACACUUUAUGCGUUUAAGUGAGCACACCACCAGCUUGCAUGAAGCGGUCGAAAUUGAUGUUAAAUAUUUACAUUACAACAUGUCUUACCGUAGUCAGGAAUUUAAUACUUGUAUGUAGCCUCCUGUGCUGUGAGAGUUUAUUGGUCACUAAUCACUGACACUCAUCGUGAAUUUCGUUGUAUGCUGCCCAGUUAAUUAUUUUCGUACAAAGGUUUGACUUUUUGCGAAGUAUGUAUAUUUUUGAUCUGUUCCUUCUGAAGUUUUUUCGUGAUGCGCCAUAAAAUUUGUUCUUGAUUUUUUUGUUACAUUUUGUUGAUUUUCUCACUCAAUUGUUUGGAUUUGAAGACUGCUUUGCCGUACGAGAGAAUCUUUUCCGCGUAGUCAUUGAUGUUCUUCGUUUUAAAACUUAAGGCUUGUUCUUGUUUUAAAAAAAAGAGCUGUGAUUAAUGGAUUAUAUUCAAUGUUCUUCCCGUUGAUCGUCGCAUUAGUCGAUGUGUGUUUCAUCUCUAGCAGAGGUGGUCCUCAACAUCGGGCUAACCUCUCGACUCUUUCAUGGUAACUCCGCGAGGUUGAGAUUCUAUUCGGUUUAUUCCUCGACUCAUUUUCCGUAUUGUCAUAAUUGUAGUUAUUGGUGAAACGAGUCCAAUUAUGAACUGUUCUGGUUCUGCUCGUAUUGUGUUAUUUUUCUCUUAUUCCUGUGGGGAAAAAAGUUAACCAGCUUGUUCACACUCGGAACUCUCGUGUUGGAAAUUUCUGGUUAAUUGCUGAAUGAUCAUGGCAGUCUUUUUUAUAAGAUAAUCCACUUAUGAUUUCUCGUCCUCUAAAUUUGUCUCAGCCUCUGUCCUGUCAUUUGAAGAGAUGUUAUUCCACUUGCUUUGUACACGGAAUCAUUGAUGUUUUACUCCGUAGUUUUGCUGGAAAUCCUCCCUACUAAAAUUUCGUGUAGCAUUCCCACGGUGAUUUGCACUAUGUGGAAUUUCAAUAGUAUAUUCUAGUCCAUAGAAGUUACUUUUCUCCCGCCUUGUUAACUGCUGACAAAGCGUUGUGAUCUUGGAUGAGACUAGCGAUUUAUUGUUGUUUCACUUCAUCAAUUCAGUGUUUGCCAGCUCCAAACUUGCUUCUUUAAAUAUUUUGGUGUUUGUGGAAAGACCCGCUAGUGGAAGUGUUUGACGGUUUCCUAAUGCGUGUGUUGCGUGGUUCUAAACUUAUUAUAGUUCGUCGCUAUUUGAGUCCCCAUGUACUUCGUUCGUUGUGUACUGAUCUGCGAGAAGCAGGAUAAUUUCUUUAAAUAGAGAAAGGCAAGACAUUUACGCGCAAAUUGGAUCGUAUUCUCUCACUUUCAUUUUCCAUUGGUUGCGACCCGUUUCGAUUGAAGUCAAUGUUCUCGUCUGAAGAGAGAUAUCCUAUUCGGUCAACUCUUAAUUGAUAAUAAUUUUGCUGGCUCCGUGAUUGAUUUUUUCUUCAAUCUUAUUUCCUGACAACGUUAACGACACUCCUUAUAAUGCUUUGUCGCAUGCCUUGAGUGUAUUGUUGGUGGUUGGCUGCUUGUGCUUCUUGUUAUAGUUAGUGACGAAUAUUAUUUUAGUUAUCAUAAGGAGUUGUAACGGCGGUGUUAUAUUUCUGUAGUAUUUGGGGCAAUGAGUUUGUAUUUUUUGAUUGUUUCUUUAUGUAACUAUAUUUGAUUUCUGUGUGCCAUGUUUUUUGUUCACUUCGGCUUCAGUCGCCUGAAAGCUCAAGAACAUUUUUGCAAGUAAUCAAGUUCCAUUGGUAGGCGAAUAUUGUGUCUCACGAUCCGUAUCACGAUACUUUAAAUGGUGAAUGCAAUUAUUCAUAUUGAAUGUGCGCUUGUUCGGGCCGACUUUUAUGUACUGUCAAUUAAUUGUGGACAUAUUAAGUAUUACCUCAGUUACUGGUUUCAUUUUGGGGGGAAUAUCUUUUAAGUUGCCCUCGUGUUUAUUUGCCCUGAAUUUGUUCGACGUUUGCCACUUGUUUUUUUUUUUUUAGUUUCUGCCAUUUCAGUUACCUGCAAUAAUUACUUUAUGAGAAAUUAGAAUAAUUUUGUAGCCUCUUAUCCGUUUUCUGUUUUGAAUAUCCGUUUUAAUUUGUAUGUAUUGAAGUUCUACAUAAAGUUGAUAAACUUCAUACUUUUUUUAUUUUGUUCCUUAACUGCACCAUUUUGACGUCAUUUACGUUUUUCGUCACUUCAUUUUUAAUUGUUGUUCUGUUACGUUUCGUGGGAAAACGUGAAAUUUAAAGCAAUUCUAUGAACGCCCAGGUUUACUUACGCGGAGCCUCAAAACUUCUGCAUUACGUUCUUUAGCAAAAAAAGUUGUCUUAUUGAAGGUUAAAUUUUGUGUGCUACACCAGAAAUUUUUUAUUUGUUCGAGUAAUACUUUAUCAUAUCGAAAACAUAACCGGCUUUCCUUAAAUCUUCAUUUAUGUUCUUAUUAAUUUUUUUCGGUGUGAUAUGUAACUAGAGAACUAAUUCCAUUUCGAUGAUUUCUCGCUUGGUCAACUAGGACAAAAGCACCUCGGUUUGGGUUCCAUAGUUCUAGGAACUUUCAUCAAUGACUUAGGCUUGAGACGGUGAAGCCUUCUCAUAAAUUCCGGCAACCCAGGAGGAAUGUUGCAAUGGUUACAAAUGGACUGUCAGCACCUGUGUUGCGUUUGAAGUCCACUUCACUUCACUCUCCGCUUUCGACACUCGGAAGGCCUGCAAAGUUUGUGUGAACGGAGGAUCGAUCGUCGCGCGAGAAAGUGAUCGUUGUUUAAUAGGCGUCCGUAGAGCAACUUGAAGCCUUAAAACCUGUAUAACUCUUAAGGAUUUUCGGAGUCCUUAAGGAUUUCCGUCGUGUACUCGUAGAGUGUGUUGGCUAUUGGUCUGUGUGUUUAGUGGUACCUAGUUGUUUGUGGUCAUAUAUAUUACUACUUUAUAUAAGAGAUAUCUACUCCCUAUUCCAGUGACCGACGCCGGUGGGAGUCGCUUCAAUGUCAGUUGUUGUUUGGGUGAUACACAUUUUAGACGAGCCCUGUAAAAAUGCCUUUCCUUUAGAAUUUCAUUAAAACAAUAUUUCCGCCGUAGUUCUUCAGCUCAUUGUUGCGAUUGCCAUCGGCGCCGGAGCAUUUACUUUGUUCAUCGUUGACGUCCGUGUGCAUUGAUAUUGUUGCAUCAAUAAUGCGCCUGUUCAUUCUUCCCUCUCGUCUUUACUGCAACGUUGUUUCUUGCGUAUCCUACAGCAGUUACUCUUUCUUCAUAGUUAUUGCUACUACUGUUACUCCUGUAAUUAACCUUUGUAUGCUUCUUCACCUCUUUCAACGCAGCGUUAAUGGCUGACCGAUAAGUCACGGCCAUCGUAGAAGUGCUCAUGCUUUCGAGCAUGAAGCUGUUUUGCUGUGGAGUUUUUCACGCAGAUUCCUUGUUUGGAAGGUUACUGCUCUCAGGAAGCCGAUGGCUUUGCUUUUACAAUAUGACUCUUGUGACUGUUGACGAUAGUACAUAUAAUUUAGUACAUCAUCUGACUACGUUUUUUUUCUAGAAAAAAUGAAAUCUAUGGUUUAAAAUCGUUCAUUUCAUUAUUAAAUGUGUUUUCCAAUACCGUUUUGAGAAUGGCUAGCGAGAUAUUAUUUUGAAAUCGGCAUGUUCUAUUUUGAAUUGUAUACGUGAAUGUCGACAAACUUUCUUAGAUUUUCUUGAUGUCGUUUGUUUUCAAGCAUAAUUAUUUCAAAGCAUUUGACUUUCAAAUGCCUCCUUUAUGUCAGUGAUGCCAUUCAUAUCGAUAUUUUUGUUCCUUCACUUUACAUCUAAAUCUUACUGUAUUUAAGUAGGCUAAGCAGUUUAACUGUUCCAGUUGAUGUUGUUCUUUAUGCUGCUGUAGCCGGUUACUUUUAUACGUGCUAUUCAUUAUAUAUCAGACUCGUGCCAAAGCCUAAAUCCACCCAAAGUAGGAGUCUGAAGAAAUGAUAGGCUAACUAAUAACCUAUUAAACGCUAAGGUUUCCAUUUCUCUAAUUAUACUCGCCAACAGCUCAUGUGUUAGUGCAUUUGAUAGCGCGAUGCAUUUCAACUCGUGUCAUCAUUUCGCUCGGUUACAAACCGAAACGUGAUCGAAUGUCGGGUAUUUUAGAGGCGCCGUUACGGGCUGUUUAAGGCACCAUUACGUCCUUCGCAGUAGGUAAGUGUCACGUUCUGUUUAACUUUUCCAUAUGGUCCUUGUCGGCAGGGCAGAAGUUUAAUAUCCAUUACUUCUUGAAUCCUGAAUAUGAGAAGCUUUAUCCUAAAAUGACAUGUUCAAGUGAUCGUCUCAGUUUUUGUUCAAAGGUUGGGGACAGAUCGAUUAGGGAACUAUUACGGCUCCUCAAUUUGUAGUAAUUAAAUAUAUCAUAUGGAAUAGUUAGUCGUAAUGAUCAUAUACUUUCGCACCAAAUUAGUUCUUUGCUGAACAUCUCUGAAAUUUAGUAGAAAGACCCGUUCUAGUCGGGAGCACAAAUGUGAUGUCUUUCUUGCCAUCGGCCCCAAAUUCAGAAGAAGGAAAUAGCUUGGUUAUUCGUAUUAUUAAGUUUUCCUGGUUGGUGUGUUCUCGUUUUAGCCGUGUUAUUGUUGCGUCGUGCUUGUGUAAUUGCUUCAAUACCUUAGAGAGUGGAUAUAAAUUUUCUUUUUAUGCAAGUUGACAAAUUUGCAUACUUUCGAAUAUGAUUACUUGUAUAAUAUAUGGGCAAGCUGAUUAACAAUCUGACAUUGUUGAAAAUAUAUCACAUUUUCAUAUAUAUCACAAUAUCAUUUCAAAGAAUUAGGUAAUUUGUUCAGUUGGUGUAAGUCGACGAAGAAAGAUUAUCUGUCGAAAAACGGUAUAUCUUGAAUGCUUUCGCCUUCAAAGAUAAUAUAAUUUGCUACACAUGCUCCAACACUUUUUAUUUAUUGAUAGCCGUUGCAUAAGAGGUUGUUAAUGGCAUUGACUGGAUGUUGUGUUUCAAGGUAAAUAUUAGGAACAAAAUUUUGAAAAUUUAUUCAAUUUGUUGAUGAAAUAGUCGAUUCUAAAAGUCGCAUUUCGCAUGCCUGUUACUAAUCCUAAAUACUCUAUGUAUCAAUUAGUCUUUAUCAUCGUACGUAAUCGUCAUGUUUGUGCGAGAAGUGCUGCUUUCAGGUGACCUCGCAAAACGGAAUAGAGUUCCAAUCGCAUUUAAUUUUCAUUUCAAAAUUGUCAUGUCAUUUUCAAAUCGAUUUUUGUAAUAUUUUCUGCUGCAAAUAUGCUGAAAAAUGCCGUAUCGCCACUAGAAGUCUAGAUGGCAUUCUCUUAUUUGUUGCCCAGCGAGUUGCUAAAUGUCGCAUCUCCGCGAAUUGUUUCAACAAAUUUCCCGGCUUAUGUAUACUUCACAGCCAUCGGAUGUUACUUCGUUACAAGGUUACAAGUACGUUAUCAGCAUUAGAAUUGAACCGCAAGCGCGGCGUCAGGAAGGUAAGUUCGACAUGUUACAUGUUAACAGGAUAGUUCCUCUGAUGUUUGAAAAUGUCACCCGUAAUCUUCAAGUGCCAUCGUCAUUAGUCGUGCAUUAAGAUGUAAUUAUUGUCAUCGCAGCAACAAUGCCAGUAGGAAAAUGUGAUAGCAGAAAGUAAAUACCGUAAUGUGACAGAAGGCAUUAGUCCACCAAUAAUGUUAGGCAAAGCACGCGUAGUUUGUCACGAUAACAUCCUCAGUCGUUUUCUACCAUGAAUGUUGCACGCUGUCGUCUCAUGAAAUGUUUUAUAAAUGAUGUUGCAUAAAGAGUAAUGAAGAGUAUUUUCAAAUGAU
rnacentral:lncRNA from 1 species